rnacentral:rRNA from 1 species
GUCAGCGACCAUAUCAUGUAGGAAGGACCGGUUCUCGUCCGAUCACCGAGGUAAAACUACAUCGGACCGGGUUAGUACUUGUAUGGGUGACCGGCUGGAAAUACCCGAUGCUGAUGACU